rnacentral:lncRNA from 1 species
GGUAGGGAUUAGGGUGUUGGAAAUAGCAUAGCUAUUGAGCCCAUGAACUCACACAGUUAUGGUUAACUGCACAAGACCCAUUGUGUGGGUUCUGGGAAACAAACUCCGACCUUCUGGAAGAACAGCAAGUGCCCACCCUGGCCAGAACAGGGGUGUUGGAAGGUGCUACACUUGCAUACUCAGGGGCUGUACGCUAUGUGUGUGUGUGAACUUUAUAUGGUCAAACAAGGAGUGAAGCCUGACACCUGUCAGGAUGAUAAAUCCUUACUAGGAUUGAUGAUGGGGCAGCUGGUUUCUUAGUGCCAGGUUGGAAGCAGGAAAGGAGUUAACUCCUGCUGUCCUCAUCUGAGGUAUCCAAGGUUAAAGUUCUCCUUGACCCUUCCUCCAUGAUCCCUGUCCAUUACAGUCCCACACAUACAUACAUAUAGGUAAAAGAUACAUUAAAAACAAAAGAAAAGAAAUAUGUAGUAUAGACAUUCUGUGCCCACAAAGCACAUCUGAUUCUUUACCAAAAGAAUUUGGUGGCUUCUGAACUGAAUAUUUCACAAAGAGAUAAAACAGGAGCUGGAGACAUGGCAUAGCAGUUAAAAACACUGGCUGCUUUUUCAGAGGACCUAGGUUCAAUUCCCAGAACCAUCAUAGCAGGUCACAACCAUUUGUAACUCCAGUCUCACGGGAAUCUGGCACUCUCUCUUGGUACUGCAUGUAUGUGGUGCAAAUACAUACAAGCAGGCAAAACAUCCACAUAUAAAAAAAUAAAAUUUGUCAUGUAAAUAAACAUGUAAGUAGGCAAGUUCCCAGCUAAAUGUACAUACAAGCAAGGUUAUUUGUGAGUUAGUUAACACAGGAGCAAAUAAGUAACAUGGGACUGAAUAUCGAGGAAAGAACACCAAGAUUGUGGAAUCAGACCAGGCAGAGGCCCUGGGCUGACACUAUGUUCCUACAAGGGGGCAGGUUACAGAAAAGUCUUCAACAAGUCUACUGUUUCACUGAUGUCAGGGGACAAGAUAAUAAAACCAGAACCAGGUUCUAUGACAUUUUGACUUUGCUGUUUUGCACACAAAUACAAAUUUCUGGACAUUCUAGUAAUACUGGGCAGAAGUAGGGAACCCACAGCUACCACACUUUCCUAAGAUUGAGAAAGUAGCACAGAAACCAAGAACUGGAACACCCACCCAACAAAGGCAAGACCUGAUACCAACACCUACAAACAUUCAAUCAUCAUGGCUCCAGAUGCCUAGACACCAGCACAAACAGCCAAGACAAUAUGCUCCCACCACAACCCAGAACUCUACUAUGGGAGGCCCUAAAAAAUGCAAUAUAGCUGAAGAGCAAGACAAGAGCUUCACAAUACCAACUAUGAAUGUGUUAAAGGACCUUCAUGAGGAUACAAAUAAACUGCUUACUGAAAUGUGUGAAAACACAAAGAAAUAAUGGAAUAAAAUAAUGAAAACAAUUGAAGACAUGAAAGUAGAAAUUGAAUCACAAAGGAAAACCCAAACUGAAAUAAAAGUGAAAAUAAAAAUUUCAAAGUCAAAUAAAAACCUCAGAGGUAAGCCUCCCCAACAGAAUGCAAAACACAGAAGAGAAAAUCCCAAGUAUUGACGAUAAGGUAGAUUUCUUCUUUUGACUGGAUACCUCAGUCAAAAAUAUGUCAAAGCUAAAAACUCAAGACCAGUGGUGGUGGUGAAAGUCUUUACUGCUGGCACUCAGGAGGCAGAGUCAAGUGGAUCUCUCCAGGUUCAAGGCUAGCCUGACCUUCAGAGAGAGCUCCAGGACAGCCAUGACUACCCAGAGAAACCCUGUCUUAAAAAGCAAAACAAGAGUCUAAAAAUUCCAGGUACAAAACAUCCAGGAUAUCUGGGACAGUAUGAAAAGAACAAAUCUAAAUAAUAAGAACAGAGGAAGGAGGG